rnacentral:rRNA from 1 species
UACAGAGGUCUCAAGCGUUGUUCGGAUUCAUUGGGCGUAAAGGGUGCGUAGGUGGCACCGUAAGUCAGGUGUGAAAUUUCGGAGCUUAACUCCGAAACUGCAUUUGAUACUGCGGUGCUUGAGGACUGGAGAGGAGACUGGAAUUCACGGUGUAGCAGUGAAAUGCGUAGAUAUCGUGAGGAAGACCAGUGGCGAAGGCGGGUCUCUGGACAGUUCCUGACACUGAGGCACGAAGGCCAGGGGAGCAAACGGG